rnacentral:rRNA from 1 species
AUGAAGAAACAGAUCCAACAAUUUGUGAAAUCUUUUCUCAUUUGUCAACAGGCCAAACCAGAGAGAGUGGCUUAUCCUGGGUUGCUCUCACCACUGCCUGUUCCAGCAAAAGCUUGGGAGAUAGUGACAAUGAACUUUAUCUCGGGAUUGCCAUCUUCUGAUCAGUAUGACUGCAUCAUGGUGGUCAUUGACAAAUUUACAAAAUAUGGUCAUUUCAUACCUGUCAAACACCCAUAUACAACCCAGAAGAUUGCUGAACUUUUUCUGGACAAUAUUUACAAGCUUCAUGGUAUGCCCCUCUAUAUAGUAUCUGACAGAGAUCCAGUUUUCACCAGCAAAUUCUGGCAAGCUCUGGUGAAGAGGACAGGAGCUGUACUUAAUAUGAACAUAGCCUAUCAUCCUGAAACUGAUGGGCAGACAAAGCGUGUUAAUCAGUAG